rnacentral:rRNA from 1 species
UACCAGCACCCCGAGUGGUCGGGACGUUUAUUGGGCCUAAAGCAUCCGUAGCCGGUUCUACAAGUCUUCCGUUAAAUCCACCUGCUUAACAGAUGGGCUGCGGAAGAUACUAUGGAGCUAGGAGGCGGGAGAGGCAAGCGGUACUCGAUGGGGUAGGGGUAAAAUCCGUUGAUCCAUUGAAGACCACCAGUGGCGAAGGCGGCUUGCCAGAACGCGCUCGACGGUGAGGGAUGAAAGCUGGGGGGAGCAAACCGG